rnacentral:lncRNA from 1 species
UGUGUGUGUGCGUGCGACGUGAAGAGCAGGAGAGAAAGGGGGGAGAACAAAACCCUAACAACACAAAAUCAGUCAAAUUGGAAAGGAAUUUGAGGGCUAAACGAAUGCAAUAACUAAGCACUAUGAUCCCCUAAGUGUUUCUAACAUCAACCGAACGAAUGAAUGUAUGUAAGCUAUCUGUGUUACGAAUGUGGUGAUAUGUACGGAUAGGAGUCAUGUCAACAAGAGCACAAACGAGGAAGUGCCACGGGUCAAAGGUAAACAUGGAAGUUAUGUGCAAAUUCGGACGCACGAGGUAAGUAAACUCCCGGACUCCCUCUCUAGUAGUAAAAGAGAUUAAUUGUAUGAUAAUUGUUAGAAGUUAUGUUGAAAUGCGUUAUUGUUGAUGAUAUCAAGUAAGUAGUAUUAAGUAAGUGAUUUCCGAAUCACUUCUUAGUUUAUUUAAGCAAAGUUAUGUGCUAGUUACUUAAGCAUGAUAAUCAAAGCCUAUUAAGAUUUGGUUAUUUAGAAGCAAAGGUUUUCGCUUUGUAGACCAACGGGUUAAAAUAAGGAAGUUUUACUAAUGAAGUUCAAUUACGUAUAAUUGAUUGAAAUGAAUGAGAUUAACGCAUACCGGGAAUCGGGUUCAUAAACCCCAUGUAUGGAACUCCGGAUAGUGUAAACCCUUUUAUAGUUAUAAUGUUCAUGUGAGUUUUGAGUAUAAACAAGUGAGUUGUUUGGUAACAACAUGAACGGGUCAAAUAACUAGUAAAUGAAUAUUAAGUCGAAAGCAUAUAAGUUAAGAAUUUCCUUAAUCCGUGUGUUGGAUUUCAAGUUCACAUGAUAGAAUGUUAAUUUACAAUCAUGUAGGAAGAAACGUGAUGCAAAACGGAUGAAAAAUGAGAGAGUUAUGUCCGUUUCGGUAAGAAUUAAUGGCUAGGAAAAGUGCAGAGCUGACACGGCCGGGUGGUGAGCUGACACGGCCGGGUGAAGGUUCUGUCAAAAAUAUUAUUUAUGUGAUUUAUGAAUCGUAGGCUUUGGUAUACUAUCCGUGGACUACGGUGGGCCUCCCAAACAUGAUUUCGAGUGUUUCCUUGACGAUUAUAAGUUGUAAACCCAAGUCUAAGCCUCAUGUAAUUUAUAUAAGAGUAUGAUAGAUGUAUGUAAUGAAGUUGGACAUGUAUUACAUGUAAAUGGUAUACAAGAAUGCGUACGGAACACGUAGGUAUGAAUACAUGAUUGUAGGUAUGAUUGAAUGUAUAUUAGGUAUGUAGAUGUGUAUGAUUGUAAGUAUGUAUGUGUGCAAGUAUGUGCGAAUGCAUGAUUUGGAUGCAUUUGAGAAUUAACGUUACUAACAAUGCCCUUGAGUUUGGGAUGUAAUGCAGGAAUGAGAAUGUCGGAUUCUUAUGAAGUUGAAGCCGAACUCGGAACAAGAGACUUAGAGAGAAUAGUCGAAUGAAUCGAAGCUAUAUUGUCGAAUAUUAUACGAAAGUUAAUUGUGUAAGAAUAGUGUUGUAUGAGGUUGUCAAUGACUAAUGAUUAAGUUGUAUGUGAUGUUCACAGGUACCAUACGGAUUUCUUCUUCUUCUACUAACGAAGAUGAGCGGACGAAGAUCGAGUCAAGAGCAAGGAUUGUACGGGAAGGAUCGGUCACAUAGUUUAACAAAUGUAGGUCCAAAGUAUUAAUAUAAUGGAACGUGGUAAAUACUUUUUAAUGAGUGUAUGACAUUUGGUAUUCGAACUUUCCUGUAAGUACUAUGUCUAUUAAAGAACGAAAUUUUGGGUUCAUAUUUUUCCGUUGUGUUGUAUUUUUUAAGUUAUUACAAGUUAGUCUUACAGGGAAUUGUUCAUAAUACGAACGGGUCAUGCCCGAUUUUUGUUAAAUUAUAGUAUGAUAAUAUCACAUUUAGGAAGGUGAAACCUUGGGCGUUUCACGUUAGACGCUGGUAGCUCCGCCGAAGCCGGUGGCUCUGCAUCUAAAUCAGGAAAUUAGGGUUUUUUUCUAGAAUUGAUUAACAAGAUGAAGAAGCUGAUGCAGCUGCAUUUGAAUCAGGAAAUUAGAACCCUAAAGGUCUUGGCAAGAUGUCGGCAAUGA